UACGAAGGGGGCUAGCGUUGCUCGGAAUCACUGGGCGUAAAGGGUGCGUAGGCGGGUCUUUAAGUCAGGGGUGAAAUCCUGGAGCUCAACUCCAGAACUGCCUUUGAUACUGAGGAUCUUGAGUUCGGGAGAGGUGAGUGGAACUGCGAGUGUAGAGGUGAAAUCGUAGAUAUUCGCAAGAACACCAGUGGCGAAGGCGGCUCACUGGCCCGAUACUGACGCUGAGGCACGAAAGCGUGGGGAGCAAACAGG
rnacentral:rRNA from 1 species